rnacentral:rRNA from 1 species
UACAGGGGGCUCGAGCGUUAGUCGGAAUCACUGGGCUUAAAGGGUGCGUAGGCGGGCAGGUAAGUCCGUGGUGAAAUCUCUGAGCUUAACUCAGAAACUGCCAUGGAUACUAUUUGUCUUGAAUAUUGUGGAGGUAAGCGGAAUAUGUCAUGUAGCGGUGAAAUGCUUAGAUAUGACAUAGAACACCAAUUGCGAAGGCAGCUUACUACACAGUUAUUGACGCUGAGGCACGAAAGCGUGGGGAUCAAACAGG